rnacentral:rRNA from 1 species
UGCAGUCGACGGUAACAGGAAGCAGCUUGCUGCUUUGCUGACGAGUGGCGGACGGGUGAGUAAUGUCUGGGAAACUGCCUGAUGGAGGGGGAUAACUACUGGAAACGGUAGCUAAUACCGCAUAACGUCGCAAGACCAAAGAGGGGGACCUUCGGGCCUCUUGCCAUCGGAUGUGCCCAGAUGGGAUUAGCUUGUUGGUGGGGUAACGGCUCACCAAGGCGACGAUCCCUAGCUGGUCUGAGAGGAUGACCAGCCACACUGGAACUGAGACACGGUCCAGACUCCUACGGGAGGCAGCAGUGGGGAUAUUGCACAAUGGGCGCAACCUGAUGCACCCUGCCGGGGUUGAAGAAGGCCUCCGGUUGUAAAGUACUUCGCGGGAGGAGGGAGUAAAGUAAACC